AGAGUUUGAUCCUGGCUCAGGAUGAACGCUAGCUACAGGCUUAACACAUGCAAGUCGAGGGGAAACGACAUCGAAAGCUUGCUUUUGAUGGGCGUCGACCGGCGCACGGGUGAGUAACGCGUAUCCAACCUGCCCAUCACUUGGGGAUAACCUUGCGAAAGUAAGACUAAUACCCAAUGAUAUCUCUAGAAGGCAUCUGAAAGAGAUUAAAGAUUUAUCGGUGAUGGAUGGGGAUGCGUCUGAUUAGCUUGUUGGCGGGGUAACGGCCCACCAAGGCGACGAUCAGUAGGGGUUCUGAGAGGAAGGUCCCCCACAUUGGAACUGAGACACGGUCCAAACUCCUACGGGAGGCAGCAGUGAGGAAUAUUGGUCAAUGGACGAGAGUCUGAACCAGCCAAGUAGCGUGCAGGAAGACGGCCCUAUGGGUUGUAAACUGCUUUUAUAAGGGAAUAAAGUGAGUCUCGUGAGACUUUUUGCAUGUACCUUAUGAAUAAGGACCGGCUAAUUCCGUGCCAGCAGCCGCGGUAAUACGGAAGGUCCGGGCGUUAUCCGGAUUUAUUGGGUUUAAAGGGAGCGUAGGCCGGAGAUUAAGCGUGUUGUGAAAUGUAGACGCUCAACGUCUGCACUGCAGCGCGAACUGGUUUCCUUGAGUACGCACAAAGUGGGCGGAAUUCGCGGUGUAGCGGUGAAAUGCUUAGAUAUCACGAAGAACUCCGAUUGCGAAGGCAGCUCACUGGAGCGCAACUGACGCUGAAGCUCGAAAGUGCGGGUAUCGAACAGGAUUAGAUACCCUGGUAGUCCGCACGGUAAACGAUGGAUGCCCGCUGUUGGUCUGAAUAGGUCAGCGGCCAAGCGAAAGCAUUAAGCAUCCCACCUGGGGAGUACGCCGGCAACGGUGAA
rnacentral:rRNA from 1 species